UCACACACACACACACAUGAAUAUGAAAUAUAUAUUUCAUAUUGACAGCAUUAUGUUAUUUAUAGUUUAAGUGUUGUGUUUAUCUCUGGAUAUAGACUUAAUGUGUGUCAUUGUUCUCUACAGGUUGAGUGAGUGUGGAGUCACAGAUGAAGGUUGUGUUGCUCUGGCUUCAGCUCUGAGAUCAAACCCCUCACACCUGAGAGAUCUGAUUCUGUCUGAUAAUAAACUAGGAGACUCAGGAGUGAAGCAGCUGAAGGAUCUGAGGGAUGAUCCACAUUAUAAACUGGAGACACUACAUUAUAGAUGACAGUCUGAUGUUCUGCUGAUCAUCUGAUGGUGAAUAAGGAUCCACUACAGAGACUCACAGUCAACAGAAUCAACAGAGACUGAAGAUACAGUGACUUCACUGUUAGAAAUUAAGACUUCAUUUAGAUUUUAACCAUCCUCUGACAGACCUGAUGAGGCCGCAGUGAAACACCUUUUAUUUCACAGCAAAUUACACUUUCUCAUUCAUAGAUUAACCUUUUUAUUUGUAUAAACACACAGUAUAAACUCAAAAAUGUAAAUAUAGAUCCUGAAUGUGUUUGUGUUGUACCAGCAGAGGGAGACAAACACUAAUGAAAGAUUCAUUUUCAUAAUUAUGAGAAGAAAAAACAGUUCAAGCUCAUUUUUGGAAAACAAUGGAAGCUUGAGUGUAUAAUCAUGUUUUUAAUAAUAGCGGCAUUACACGUGUAUUACACGGCCCGACCUGUAUCAGGGCCCUUGUACAGCCGUACUCAGUUGAAAGGUCACUGAGAUCCUCAAAUGAAAUGUUCUUCUUGCAUGUAUGA